CCUACGGGAGGCAGCAGUGGGGAAUAUUGGACAAUGGGCGAAAGCCUGAUCCAGCCAUGCCGCGUGUGUGAAGAAGGCCUUCGGGUUGUAAAGCACUUUCAGUGGGGAAGAAAGCCUUGGGGCUAAUACCCUCGAGGAAGGACAUCACCCACAGAAGAAGCACCGGCUAACUCCGUGCCAGCAGCCGCGGUAAUACGGAGGGUGCGAGCGUUAAUCGGAAUUACUGGGCGUAAAGCGCGCGUAGGCGGUCUGAUAAGCCGGUUGUGAAAGCCCCGGGCUCAAACUGGGAACGGCAUCCGGAACUGUCAGGCUAGAGUGCAGGAGAGGAAGGUAGAAUUCCCGGUGUAGCGGUGAAAUGCGUAGAGAUCGGGAGGAAUACCAGUGGCGAAGGCGGCCUUCUGGACUGACACUGACGCUGAGGUGCGAAAGCGUGGGUAGCAAACAGGAUUAGAUACCCGUGUAGUC
rnacentral:rRNA from 1 species